rnacentral:lncRNA from 1 species
ACUAGCCCGAGGGGCUUGCCGGGAGAACCUCCUCAGUUUCCAGCCCCCGGAUCUGAGACUGAGAAGGAUUAGGGGCUUUGGCCAAGGUCACGCGGCCCUUCAGGGCUAGAAGUCAGGGCUCCUGACUCCGGGUUCUGGACACUUUCCCGCAAAUUCUUAUAAGUCGCCAAAGCUUUGUUGAGAAACAGAAAAUUGAGGUUUGCCAGGGGCACUUUAUCUGCCUGAUCAGAUUCCAUGCCUCAACAGCCUCAUUAGGUCGGUGACAUUAUUUACCCACUUUCAGGAGGAGAGCCCAGUCCAGUUCCUGGACCAAGGUCACACAAAUAGUGGGUUGCGGAGGCAAGCUUCUUCGUGCUCUGGGAAGCAGGGAAGGCAGGCAGGGAGACCAGCAGUUGUAAUCCAGCGCUAGAACAGGAAAAAUUGAUAAACUGAGAAUACAGAGGAAACUGAGAAUUAUUGUCCCCAGGGGAUUGGUAAGGAGAAGAUGAGGAAGUUAGAAGAAUUGGACAGAUACCUGCGGAAAGUGUUCCAGGCAGAGGAAACUGCUGGAGCAAAUGCUCCUAGCAGGAGGCCACCUGGCGCCUCCGAGGAUCAGCAGGGGGGCCAGUGUGGCUGGAAUGGAGUGAGUGGGAGGGAGAGGAGAGAUAAGAGGGACCCAAUCAGGUGGGACCUCCGGGGCCCUUGAAGGCACGCUGUCUUUUACUCUGAGUCAACUGGGGAUCCAUUGCAGGAUAUUGAGCAAAGAAAGGGUAUUAUUUUUGGGUAGAUGAAAUCCACACAACAUAAAAUUAACCAUUUUAAAGUCAACAAUUCAGUGGCAUUUUGUACAGACACAAUGUUGUGUAUCCACCACCUCUAUCUAGUUCCAAAAUAUUCUCUUCACGGAAAAAUAAAACAGUAUACCCACUGAGCAGUCACUCCUAACUUUCCCUUACCCCUCGUCUCUGGCAACCACCAAUUUGCUUUCUGCUUCUGCGGAUGUGCCUAUUCUGGAUAUUUCAUAUACAUGGAAUCACAUGAGAUGCAACCCUUCUUGUCUGACUUCUUUCAUGUGGCAUUUUGUUUGUUUGUUUUUGUUGUUGUUUUUUCACUCUUGUCGCCCAGGCUGGAGUGCAGUGGCGUGAUCUCUGCUCACCACAACUUCUGCCUCCUG